rnacentral:rRNA from 1 species
UUGGGAAUAUUGGACAAUGGAGGGAACUCUGAUCCAGUGACGCCGCGUGAAGGAAGAAGGUCUUCGGAUUGUAAACUUAUUUUAUCAGGGAAGAAAGAAAUGACAGUACCUGAAGAAGAAGGACCGGCUAACUACGUGCCAGCAGCCGCGGUAAUACGUAGGGUCCGAGCGUUAUCCGGAUUUACUGGGUGUAAAGGGCGAGUAGACGGAACUGCAAGUCAGAUGUGAAAUGCUAGAGCUCAACUUUAGAACUGCAUCUGAAACUGUGGAACUAGAGUGCAGGAGAGGUAAGCGGAAUUCCUAGUGUAGCGGUGAAAUGCGUAGAUAUUAGGAGGAACACCAGUGGCGAAGGCGGCUUACUGGACUGUAACUGACGUUGAGGCGCGAAAGUGUGGGGAGCAAACA